UAAUUUAUUUUUAUGAACAUUUUGCUGCAAUGUUGAAGUGGUUUGAUAGAUGGGUUUAUUUUUUGAAGUAGUUUGAGGGUUAAAGUUUGGAACUUUUCAGGUUUUUGCUUCAGUUGGUCUUAUUUGAACACUUUGUUUCUAGGUUUUGAGCUUGGUUUAGGAUAUUUGGGAUUGGGGUUUUGGUUGGUUUGAGAAAUGAGUGUAAUUUUGAAUUGUUUUUUAGGGUUGAGUAUUGGGACUUUGCAAGUUUCAACUCUGUUUGAUUGAUUUGAACACUUUGCUUGUAGGAUUCGAGCUGAUUUUUGGACAUUUAAACUUGCUUUUUGUUUGUGCUGAUUGAUGGGGUAUACUUUAGAUGCUUCUAAUGGUUUGGUUUUUGGAACUUUGAUGAUUUUGAAUCUGUUAGUUUGAUUUCUUCAACUCGGAGAAAAUAAACAUGGUUUGGAGAAAGUUUGUUCUGUUUUAGUUUUGGAUUCCAUAUGGGUUGGUUGUCGAUGCUGAAUAACACUUGAAUUCUUUCCCUAACCCUUUUCAUGAAGAAACAGACAAGGGAGUAAGGAAUUAUUUUCUUGGAAUCUUUAAGCCUCCACGUUUUAAUUGAGGAGCAGAAAAGUGAACAAGGGUUUUACCCCCUACACUUAACACUAACCACCAAACCAGAGAAGGCUUUUGGCCAGGGUCACUGGCAAUAUGAUAGUGGAGCUGGCAUUCCUCCAAGGCAGAACUAUGGUUAUGGUCCCAAGUUUUUCAAUGGCCAUCAUGCUGAAUGCUUUGUAUCUGAAUUGAAGUUUGCAAAGAGUGAAGAAACAUUAGGAAGAAAAUGUAUAGAUUUUCAAGAGAUUUUAGGAGCAAAAGUCAUGAUACUUGAGGCCUUAUCCAGUAACAACUGACUGAUUAUCGUAAUCUCUCUGGGACACCAUAUGAAACACUUGCAGCCCUAAACCUCUUUAGGGUGAUAUGCAUCCAUUCUUUUAUCCCUUUUAUACCUAAUUGCUCUCAAAGUGUAUAUCUGAUUGACAAGCGUCAAUCUUUUAUAAUUGGUUAAUAUGUCAUAGACAUGAUCGAGAAAGGGGUGUUCCGUGCACUAAAGCUGGGCUAUGCGUGGGAUCCGAGGAAGGGCUGGACAACAGGGUCUAAUCCAAAAAAUUCAUGUUGAACAUGGAGCUGCUAUAGUGAUGCUCAAGGCCAACUGUGGUGAAUUAAAUUACUUUUAGGAUGUAAACUUACAAAUUAUAUUUAAACAAUUUUCUACUAACAUGAUAUAUCAGGUAUCUUUUGCAGGUAUUGAAGUGUUCACUUGAGCAAGUCAAGAUACAAGUUGUCAAGUUUCUUAUAAUUUUUCUACUGUUAGGUAAAUAAUUUAUAUCUUUUGCUGAGGAUGUUAGAUUUCUUGAAGGAUUGUGUAAACAAUACAAUGACCUACUAAAAGUUUUUUCUUUCCUACUCAAGGUUAAUUUCCACUAAUAAUUGAUGUUGAAACAUAAUUUAGGGACAAUUAUGUUACUACCGUUAAACAAUUGUCGCAAAAAACUUUACUUGUUGCAGUGAGUAGGUGUUAUAAAAAUUGUGCAUUAGUUAGAGCUUGCAGCUUGGCUGAGGCUGAUUGAAACAAAAGAAACAGAAAAAGAUUACCAAACCAUGGGUUUGCAAUAGUUUUGAUCAUGCCAUUCUGAAUUUUUCCCAUAUAAAGUGUCAAUCUAUCUCUAUAUGUUUUGUUCUUUCAUGGAUUUUGGGUUUGUAGCUUUACUGUCAAUGUUCACUUGAACUGGUAGAACUGACUUGAGCUCCAAUUUCCUUAAGUAUCCCAGAAUUCAUGUUAGCUUAACUACAGUAGACGAUGCUAAGCUUCUGUAUUCAGUUUCAACUGAACUUCUAGAUGCUAUACUUUGCUUUUUUUAUUUCCAAGAGAUUACAGAGUCACCUAGUUUGAUUAAAAAGCCUAUCACAAUUUUUCUGGAGUUUGGACAUGCUGUCUUGUUCUUUGGUGCUGCUUGAUAUGAGUAUUCCCCGCUGUUCAUUUUGAAGGCUUGAUGUAGUGCUGUCUUGGUUUCUUUAAUUAGUUGUAAGUUACUACCAGUGAUAAGCAUGCCAUCCACAUAUACUAGGAUGACUAUCAGAUCAUUUCCAACUUUCGUCGAGACUAAAAAGUGAUCAUCUUGGCUUUGUUUGAACCCAGAUUGCUUCCAAUAACUUUGUAUUCCAUUGUCUUGGGGCAUGUUUUAGGCCAUACAAGGAUUUUUAAGAAGCUUGCAUACUGGUCUUGUGUCCCUUAGCUCUUAAAACCUUAUAGAAGAUCCAUGUAGACCUCAUCACGAAGAUCUACUUAAAGGAAAACAUUGUAUACAUUUUGGGUUGAUCACUUGAUACCAUUUUGAUUACCUCUGGUAAUCAAUGCCCUCUUGUUGAUUGUAUCCCUUUGCUACUAAUCUAGCCUUGAACCUUUUAAUUCCACCUGCGUCUCUAUAUUUUAUCCUAAAGUCCCAUUUGCAGCCAAUGCCAGUAGGCCUCUUUCCUUCGGGUAGAGGAACUAUUUUCCGAGUGUUGUUACUUUCUAGAGCAGCUAUUUUACCUUCAUUGCAUCCACCUACCUAGGAUCUGAGACACCUUCACUAUAAGAUGAUGGUUCUACCUUGGUUGAACUAGCAGCAGCGAAAGCUCGAUAAGCAGAAGAGAGAAUGAUCAUAGUGAAUGUAAUUUGCAAUGAUGGAAGGUCUAUUGUGACACCCCAACUUAAGAUAAAGAAAUCUCACAUCGGCAGAACACAUGAGAGAUGUUGGGUAUAUAAGUAAGCAGACUGUGCGGGCCUAGGUCCAAAACGAACAAUAUCACUAGUGAGCUGGGUCGUUACAUCCAUGCUCAUACAACAUUUCAUAUUGCGACUUAAUUGUUAAGCACAGAUCAUGUUAAUUAAGUAAGUUGCAGCUAGAACAUAGUUAACAAAAGCUUAAAACACUUUUGACCUUCCAAAAACUUGUUCUAACAGACUAUAAGUCGUAAAGAGAUCUCUAAAGGAAGGAAGGAAUUAACAAACUUAUAUGAUUGUAUAUAUUUCUGUUACACCCCAAAUUCAAAUCACACUAGAGAAAUAUAUCAGUUCAAACAAACAUAGAAGAAAGGCACAAACCUAAGAA